rnacentral:SRP_RNA from 1 species
GCCAGGCAUGGUGGCUCAUGCCUGUAAUCCCAGCACUUUGGGAGGCCGAGGUGGGUGGAUCACCUGAGGUCAGGAGUUUGAGACCAGCCUGACCAACAUGGAGAAACCCCAUCUCUA